UGGGGAAUAUUGCACAAUGGGCGCAAGCCUGAUGCAGCCAUGCCGCGUGUAUGAAGAAGGCCUUCGGGUUGUAAAGUACUUUCAGCGGGGAGGAAGGGAGUAAAGUUAAUACCUUUGCUCAUUGACGUUACCCGCAGAAGAAGCACCGGCUAACUCCGUGCCAGCAGCCGCGGUAAUACGGAGGGUGCAAGCGUUAAUCGGAAUUACUGGGCGUAAAGCGCACGCAGGCGGUUGAUUGAGUCAGAUGUGAAAUCCCCGGGCUUAACCCGGGAAUUGCAUCUGAUACUGGUCAGCUAGAGUCUUGUAGAGGGGGGUAGAAUUCCAUGUGUAGCGGUGAAAUGCGUAGAGAUGUGGAGGAAUACCGGUGGCGAAGGCGGCCCCCUGGACAAAGACUGACGCUAAGGUGCGAAAGCGUGGGGAGCAAACAGG
rnacentral:rRNA from 1 species